rnacentral:rRNA from 1 species
GUGGGGAAUUUUGGACAAUGGGCGCAAGCCUGAUCCAGCAAUGCCGCGUGCAGGAAGAAGGCCUUCGGGUUGUAAACUGCUUUUGUACGGAACGAAACGGUCCUGGCUAAUACCCGGGGCUAAUGACGGUACCGUAAGAAUAAGCACCGGCGAACUACGUGCCAGCAGCCGCGGUAAUACGUAGGGUGCGAGCGUUAAUCGGAAUUACUGGGCGUAAAGCGUGCGCAGGCGGUUUUGUAAGACAGGCGUGAAAUCCCCGGGCUCAACCUGGGAAUUGCGCUUGUGACUGCAAGGAUGGAGUGCGGCAGAGGGGGAUGGAAUUCCGCGUGUAGCAGUGAAAUGCGUAGAUAUGCGGAGGAACACCGAUGGCGAAGGCAAUCCCCUGGGCCUGCACUGACGCUCAUGCACGAAAGCGUGGGGAGCAAACAGGAUUAGAUACCCCUGUAGUCC